rnacentral:rRNA from 1 species
GAUGAACGCUAGCGACAGGCCUAACACAUGCAAGUCGAGGGGCAGCAUGAAAUUAGCUUGCUAAUUUUGAUGGCGACCGGCGCACGGGUGAGUAACACGUAUGCAACCUUCCUGUAAGCGGGGGAUAACCCGGAGAAAUCCGGACUAAUACCGCAUAGUAUCACAAUUUCGCAUGUUAUUGUGAUCAAAGAUUAAUUGCUUACAGAUAGGCUCGCGUGACAUUAGCUAGAUGGCGGGGUAACGGCCCACCAUGGCGACGAUGUCUAGGGGUUCUGAGAGGAAGGUCCCCCACACUGGAACUGAGACACGGUCCAGACUCUUACGGGAGGCAGCAGUGAGGAGUAUUGGUCAAUGGUCUGACGACUGAACCAGCCAUGCCGCGUGAAGGUCACGGCCCUAUGGGUCUUAAACUUCUUUUGCAAGGGAGCAAUAAGGUCUACGUGUAGAUCGAUGAGAGUACCUUGCGAAUAAGCAUCGGCUAACUCCGUGCCAGCCGCCGCGGUAAUAC